ACUCAAAGGAAUUGACGGGGGCCCGCACAAGCGGUGGAGCAUGUGGUUCAAUUCGACGCAACGCGAAGAACCUUACCCAGGCUUGAAGAGCGGGUGACGACCCCCGAAAGGGGGCUUCCGCAAGGACACCCGUAGAGGUGCUGCAUGGCUGUCGUCAGCUCGUGUCGUGAGAUGUUGGGUUAAGUCCCGCAACGAGCGCAACCCUUGUCCCCUGUUGCCAUCAGGUUGAGCUGGGCACUCUGGGGAGACUGCCGGUGACAAACCGGAGGAAGGUGGGGAUGACGUCAAGUCAGCAUGGCCUUUAUGUCUGGGGCUACACACGUGCUACAAUGGCCGGCACAAACCGUUGCGAUCCCGCGAGGGGGAGCUAAUCGGAGAAAACCGGUCUCAGUUCGGAUCGCAGGCUGCAACUCGCCUGCGUGAAGUUGGAAUCGCUAGUAAUCGCAGAUCAGCACGCUGCGGUGAAUACGUUCCCGGGCCUUGUACACACCGCCCGU
rnacentral:rRNA from 1 species